AUUGAACGCUGGCGGCAGGCUUAACACAUGCAAGUCGAACGAGCGGCGGACGGGUGAGUAAUGUCUGGGAAACUACCUGAUGAAGGGGGAUAACUACUGGAAACGGUAGCUAAUACCGCAUACCAUCAGAUGUGCCCAGAUGGGAUUAGCUAGUUGGUGGGGUAAAGGCUCACCAAGGCGACGAUCCCUAGCUGGUCUGAGAGGAUGACCCGCCACACUGGAACUGAGACACGGCCCAGACUCCUACGGGAGGCAGCAGUGGGGAAUUUUGGACAAUGGGCGCAAGCAUGAUGCAGCCAUGCCGCGUGUGUGAAGAAGGCCUUCGGGUUGUAAAGCACUUUCUGCGGGGAGGCGGUACUCGAAGAAUAAGCACCGGCUAACUACGUGCCAGCAGCCGCGGUAAUAC
rnacentral:rRNA from 1 species